UACGAAGGGGGCUAGCGUUGCUCGGAAUCACUGGGCGUAAAGGGCGCGUAGGCGGCCGAUUAAGUCGGGGGUGAAAGCCUGUGGCUCAACCACAGAAUUGCCUUCGAUACUGGUUGGCUUGAGACCGGAAGAGGACAGCGGAACUGCGAGUGUAGAGGUGAAAUGCGUAGAUAUCGUCUGGAACGCCGAAGGUGAAAACAGCUCGCUGGGGCCGCGCUGACGCUGAGACACGAAAGCCAGGGGAGCGAACGGG
rnacentral:rRNA from 1 species